rnacentral:rRNA from 1 species
AUGAGCUUCUACAGCCUUCCGGAGACGCUUCAUCACGAGAUCGCCACUGUUCAGGGCCGUUUCUUUUGGGCCGGUGAGGGCAACAAGCAGAAGUACCACAUGGUUAGGUGGUCAGAAAUCUGCAAGCCUCGCAGCCAGGGCGGACUCGGGAUCAUGUCUUCCAAACGCAUGAACAUUGCCCUCCUAACUCGGUGGCUUUGGCGGAUUGCCAACGGAGAUGGUGGCCUGUGGCUUCGCAUCAUUCAACAAAAAUACCUCUGA